CAAAAAUAUACCCAGUACAGUUCACUUUCCAAAGUAACAAUACAGCUUACCUUGAAGGACAGCCAUUAAAAUUCCGUGACAGUGGUUUUAUCCAUAUCUUAUCUUCUGUACCUAGAGAGUCGUUUUGGGGUCAAGGCAUGACGAAUGUGGUCAGUUUAGAAAACAUGGAAGAAGUUGGAAUUAACGAAAUAGGCCCGAAGCCACAUAAACCGUUAACAGCAGUUUGUAGUGACUUAAUAUUUCCACACGUAGAUAAAAUCAGCAAAAGGCAUGAUUUUGAAAAUCAGAUUUUAAUUUCGUUUGAGGUCAAAGUCCGAGUAAUUGACAUCCAAAUUCAGUCGAAUUCUACAUUGAAUUUCAGCUUGUAUUAUCUUCAUGAAGUUAAUAAAACAUUCGUGCAGAUGGAUAUCGAACCAGCACAGGAAAAUGUUAUUCAAAAAUGGUCUCUGAAAUCACCGUUGUAUACCAGAGGAAUAAAAAUAAGCACAACAAGCCAGUUAGAAAACAACACUAAUAUUACUGCCAUGGUCGAAAAUGUAAAUGUUAGUGGCUGUCCAAGCGCUAUAUUAAACACAGGAACACUAAAUGCUGUCAGUGAAACAUGGACAAUUGAACCUAGUGAAAACGUACUCAAGACCAGACCUUAUCUUCAUGUCGUGGCUAUGUCAAAAUCUAAAGAUCCAGUUACUCUUUUCAAAGAUAUUCAAACUCAACUUUCCAAGACUUUUUCUUUAACAUAUCAAUUAAAGGAAUCUCAGUACGACUGUGCGUUUAAUAUUGAAUCGAUGAAAAUAAAUAUACAAGAUAGUGAGCUCCUAUUCAAUAUUAUAAACAUUACUAAAAUAUCAAUAAAGAUGGCCAAAACCUCACUAUAACAAUUGAUAUCACAUCGUUGAACAAGAAUGAUCUUAAUCGUGGAAUUAUGUCAUUGAACAGUACCAUCAAGACGGCCAUUAAAAACACUGUAUGUUCUGGUCAACAAUUUUCUUUCAGACCGGUUCACCAGCCGAAACAAACGACUCGUCUUCCUUUUUUACGUCUAAUGCCUGGAUCAUUAUCAGUAUUUGUAUUGUCAUUCUGCAAGUGAUAACCUUAUCGGUUUUGUGCGUCAAAACAAUUCGGGGUCGGAAUAUGGCGAAAG